CCCCUAGAUGUUCUGGGCCGCACGCGCGCUACACUGAACAGUUCAACAAGUCUUAACCUUGGCCGAUAGGUCUGGGUAAUCUUUGAACGCUGUUCGUGAUUGGGAUAGACCUUUGCAAUUAUGGGUCUUCAACGAGGAAUUCCUAGUAAACGCAAGUCAUCAGCUUGCAUUGAUUACGUCCCUGCCCUUUGUACACACCGCCCGUCGCACCUACCGAUUGAAUGGUCCGGUGAAUCUUUCGGACUGCGCGCGGCCUCGUGCCGUGUCGCGGAAAGUCAGGUAAACCUUAUCACUUAGAGGAAGGAGAANUCGUANCA
rnacentral:rRNA from 1 species